rnacentral:sRNA from 1 species
UCAAUUUUGAAGGCACACAAAUUAUGGU